rnacentral:rRNA from 1 species
UACGUAGGGGGCAAGCGUUGUCCGGAUUUAUUGGGCGUAAAGAGCGUGUAGGCGGCCAUGCAGGUCAGCUGUGAAAACUCGAGGCUCAACCUCGAGACGUCGGUUGAAACCGUAUGGCUAGAGUCCGGAAGAGGAGAGUGGAAUUCCCGGUGUAGCGGUGAAAUGCGCAGGUAUCGGGAAGAACACCUAUGGCGAAGGCAGCUCUCUGGGACGGUACUGACGCUGAGACGCGAAAGCGUGGGGAGCAAACAGG